rnacentral:rRNA from 1 species
UACGUAGGGUGCGAGCGUUGUCCGGAAUUACUGGGCGUAAAGAGCUCGUAGGUGGUUUGUCGCGUUGUUCGUGAAAACUCACAGCUCAACUGUGGGCGUGCGGGCGAUACGGGGCAGACUGGAGUACUGCAGGGGAGACUGGAAUUCCUGGUGUAGCGGUGGAAUGCGCAGAUAUCAGGAGGAACACCGGUGGCGAAGGCGGGUCUCUGGGCAGUAACUGACGCUGAGGAGCGAAAGCAUGGGGGAGCGAACAGG